rnacentral:rRNA from 1 species
UACGUAGGGGGCAAGCGUUGUCCGGAUUUAUUGGGCGUAAAGAGCGUGUAGGCGGUUCGGUAGGUCCGUUGUGAAAACUCGAGGCUCAACCUCGAGACGCCGAUGGAAACCCUCGAACUAGAGUCCGGAAGAGGAGAGUGGAAUUCCUGGUGUAGCGGUGAAAUGCGCAGAUAUCAGGAAGAACACCCGUGGCUAAGGCGGCUCUCUAGUACGGUACUGACGCUGAGACGCGAAGCGUGGGGAGCGAAGCAGG